UACGAAGGGGGCUAGCGUUGCUCGGAAUCACUGGGCGUAAAGCGCACGUAGGCGGCUUGCUAAGUCAGGGGUGAAAUCCUGGAGCUCAACUCCAGAACUGCCUUUGAUACUGGCGAUCUUGAGUCCGGGAGAGGUGAGUGGAACUGCGAGUGUAGAGGUGAAAUUCGUAGAUAUUCGCAAGAACACCAGUGGCGAAGGCGGCUUACUGGUCCGGUUCUGACGCUGAGGCGCGAAAGCGUGGGGAGCAAACAGG
rnacentral:rRNA from 1 species